rnacentral:rRNA from 1 species
GUGAGGUGGAGCGAAUCNCAAAACUCGGUCUCAGUUCAGAUUGCAGGCUGCAACUCGCCUGCAUGAAGUUGGAAUUGCUAGUAAUCGCGAAUCAGAAUGUCGCGGUGAAUACGUUCCCGGGCCUUGUACACACCGCCCGUCACACCAUGAGAGUUGGCAAUACCCAACGUACGUGAUCUAACCCGCAAGGGAGGAAGCGUCCUAAGGUAGGGUCAGCGAUUGGGGUGAAGUCGUAACAAGGUAAC